GCGGGCAUAGUUUAGUGGUAAAACCUUAGCCUUCCAAGCUAAUGAUCGCGGUUCGAUUCCGCGUGCCCGCU
rnacentral:tRNA from 4 species